AAUAUGACAGAUUUAUUCAUGAAUAUGAAACUAAGUUGUAUGAGUUAUACACUCACUUAUAUAAUUUUUAUAGUUAAUAGAUCUUCCCCUUACUAAGUGAAAGGAGUAUUUGUUUCUCCAUGGGGUGGGAACUCUUUGUACCAUACUGGUACUUUAAUAGAUGGUCUAAUUGAUAUCAACCCAAUUAAUUUACCAGGUCUACCACGUGUUCUAAAUUGGUUAGACAUUAUACCCAUUUGAAUUGCCUUCACUCCUGAGUCUCUGAGUGUCAGGUUCAAGCUGCUGACCGACGAGGUUCCUUAUGCUUGCGAACCAGUUAGAUUCUAUACACAUAUGAAUCUUCCCCAUAUUCGAAUAUCUGAAUGUCAGACUCAAGCUGAUGAUAUAUGAGGUAUGGUCCUCGCUGUAUCAAUCAAGUCCCAUUGAAAUAUUGAAACGUUGUUCAUACAUCUUUGAAUGACCUUUUAUGUGCUGACAAUAUGUUCUGAAAUGAAGAGAUUUUACCCCUGAUGAAGUCUUGGAACAAGAUGAAACGCGUUGGGUUAUUUAUCUAUCUAUUAUCUGAUGUUACCUCCAAAUCUACAAUAAGGAGAAGGAGGAAAUCGUUGUGAUAUAUCUACGCUUUUUCCUCAUCACUACAAACUGAUUGUCCAAAUUGUGCGACAGAUGUAAAUGUAUCAACUCUGUAUACUUAUGAACAUUUGUGUCGGGUUUAUAUGUUGUUUUAAUAAAUUUUUAUGUUAGUAUUUGUUAUCUGACGUAAUUUAUCCGGAGAGUACUGUAAG